rnacentral:rRNA from 1 species
AGAGUUUGAUCAUGGCUCAGGACGAACGCUAGCGGCGUGCCUAAGGUAUGCAAGUCGAACGGGAUCUUCGGAUCUAGUGGCGAACGGUCGAGUAACACGUAGACAACCUGCCUUUCAGUGGGGGAUAACAGCUCGAAAGGGCUGCUAAUACCGCAUAGGGCGGCUUGGCGAUGCCAGGCAUGCUAAAGGAGCAAUCCGCUGGGAGAUGGGUCUGCGGCCUAUCAGGUAGUUGGUGGGGUAACGGCCCACCAAGCCGACGAUGCGUAGCUGGUCUGAGAGGAUGAUCAGCCACACUGGGACUGAGACACGGCCCAGACUCCUACGGGAGGCAGCAGCCAGGAAUCUUGGGCAAUGGGCGAAAGCCUGACCCAGCAACACCGUGUGGGUGACGAAGGCCUUAGGGUCGUAAAGCCCUGUUGAUAGGGACGAAGGGCGAAGGGUUAAUAGCCCCUAGCUUGACGGUACCUUUCGAGGAAGCCCCGGCUAACUACGUGCCAGCAGCCGCGGUAAUACGUAGGGGGCGAGCGUUGUCCGGAAUUAUUGGGCGUAAAGAGCGUGUAGGCGGUUCGGUAAGUCUGCUGUGAAAUCCUGGGGCUCAACCCUGGGCGUGCAGCGGAUACUGCCGGGCUAGAGGGUGGUAGAGGCGAGUGGAAUUCCGAGUGUAGCGGUGAAAUGCGCAGAUAUUCGGAGGAACACCAGUAGCGAAGGCGGCUCGCUGGGCCACACCUGACGCUGAGACGCGAAAGCGUGGGGAGCGAACAGGAUUAGAUACCCCGGUAGUCC